CUCUCCUCUGUUCACUGCCGUGUGCUUCAUCUAGACAAUCAGACCCUUCUACCAGGCGUGUAUCCAUGGUCGAGAAAACUUGGUCCUUACAUUGAUGUAAGGACCACGAUUUUUCGGCCACGGAAACACAUACGGUGGCAGGAGUUUGAUAGGAAUGAAGCACACACAACAGUAAAGGGGGAAG
rnacentral:pre_miRNA from 1 species